CUCUGGACAAGCGAUUGAAGUGGAAAUCCUUUUUUUUGUGCAGGGAAAAGCGCUGGCAAAAAAAGAUUGCAGCGAAAAGCGCGGUCCCGA
rnacentral:sRNA from 1 species